rnacentral:lncRNA from 1 species
GAUGGCCAUGGUGAUGAGCGCGAUGUACGAGUAGGGCGGCUUCACCAGCGGGUUCUUGCCAGCCCCCGACGGCGCCUUGUCCGCUCCGGCCGCCGCGCCCCUGGGGGCCACGGGGGGCUCCCCUCCGGGGCUGGGCUCAGCUCCCCCCUUGGGCCCGGCCCCCCGAGGGGUGGGCGGCGGGAGGAGCCGAGGUUCGCCGUCCGAGGACUCUCCUUCCUCCUCUUCCUCCUCCUCAUCCCCUUCCUCCUCCUCCGGCCCGUACUUGCACGCGUCCCGGGGGGUGAUGGCGGCGCUAAGCAGCGGGUCGCCUCCUCCGCCCCCGCCGCCCACCACGUCUAUGUCCCCCUCGGCCUCGGACAGCACUGCCGGAGAGCUCUCGGAGGACAUGAUCUCGCAGCAGCAGCCGCCCAGGGUCAUGGUGGUGGCCGCCGCGGCCGCCUAGUCCUCGGCGGGCGGCUCUGGGACCCGCGCUCCGAGCGUUCCGCCGCCGCCGCCGCUGUCUCUGUUCCGGCUCCGGCUCGCUGGGUCUUGGCGGCUUUCUCGGGCAAAGGCCGAGAGCCGGACGACACAUUGGCAGCCCCAGCGAAAAUCUGCCAGCCCGGGGGGCCCAGAGUCUUUCUCUGCAAGGGGAGUUCCCUCCCGAAGGUUUUGGCGCGGCCUUUGCACCCAGGAAUCUCCACCGCUGGAGCCCCUGGAACCGGAGUCGACAGCCUGAGCCCAGAGUGUGAUUUUUUUCUCUGCCUGGCUCUUCCUCUUCUUUCUCCUCCUCUUCCUCCUCCUCCGACUCCCUUUCUAUCUCUCUGUCUUCCUCCUGUCCCUCCCACCGGAGCCCCUCUCAAAUUCUCAGUGUCCUGGGACCUUGGCUCCUCAACAAGGAAACGAUCAGCGUCCUUUGUCUUUAAGAGUCCCUUUGACCAAUCCACCGUGGCCCCGGAAGACUGA